GUAGGUGGCAAGCGUCGUCCGGAAUUAUUGGGCGUAAAGCGCGCGCAGGCGGUCCUUUAAGUCUGAUGUGAAAGCCCACGGCUCAACCGUGGAGGGUCAUUGGAAACUGGGGGACUUGAGUACAGAAGAGGAAAGCGGAAUUCCAAGUGUAGCGGUGAAAUGCGUAGAGAUUUGGAGGAACACCAGUGGCGAAGGCGGCUUUCUGGUCUGUAACUGACGCUGAGGCGCGAAAGCGUGGGGAGCAAACAGGGAUUAGAUACCCUGGUAGUCCACGCCGUAAACGAUGAGUGCUAAGUGUUAGGGGGGUUUCCGCCCCCUUAGUGCUGCAGCUAACGCAUUAAGCACUCCGCCUGGGGAUACGGCCGCAAGGCUG
rnacentral:rRNA from 1 species